UGUCUCUAUUGAUCUGGUGGCAUUAGGGGCUCCCUGUAAGAGGACCCCACAGCACUGGUCCUUAUGUGUCUGGCUCAUUUCCCUCAGGACUAGGUGGAUAAGUGAUGUGAGUGCAGAGACCAGAAGAGGACACUGGAUGCCCUGGAGCUGAAGUUACAGAAAGUUGUGAGUUUCCUGAUGUGGAUUCCAGGAACUGAACCCAGAUCCUCUACAAGAACAGCACCUGUUCUUAACCACUGAGCUAUCUCUCCAGUCCCCUGGGUCUCAGUUUUCACAUGUGCAAAAGGAGGCUAAAGAUCCCAGGGCAUCCUCAGCCUCCAUGAGGACUGUGUGAGCAAAGUGUGUCACUGCAGCUGGAGGUGACGGCAGGGAGAAGGGACAGAGUGUGCAGCUGGCAUGUCCCUGAGCACAUCUGGAACUCGCUAUCUAGUCUCCUGCUGGGACUUUCACAGACACUUGGGGUACCUGGGGACCCAUAUAUAUCCUGCUAUCCCGCCCCUGCCUUACCUGGU